GACGAACGCUGGCGGCGUGCUUAACACAUGCAAGUCGAACGAUGACGACCGAGCUUGCUCGGUCUGAUUAGUGGCGAACGGGUGAGUAACACGUGAGCAACCUGCCCUUCACUCUGGGAUAACCUCGGGAAAUCGGGGCUAAUACCGGAUAUGAGCUCCUGUCGCAUGGCGGGUGUUGGAAAGUUUUUCGGUGAAGGAUGGGCUCGCGGCCUAUCAGUUUGUUGGUGAGGUAGUGGCUCACCAAGGCGAUGACGGGUAGCCGGCCUGAGAGGGUGACCGGCCACACUGGGACUGAGACACGGCCCAGACUCCUACGGGAGGCAGCAGUGGGGAAUAUUGCACAAUGGGCGAAAGCCUGAUGCAGCGACGCCGCGUGAGGGAUGACGGCCUUCGGGUUGUAAACCUCUUUCAGCAGGGAAGAAGCGAAAGUGACGGUACCUGCAGAAGAAGCGCCGGCUAACUACGUG
rnacentral:rRNA from 1 species